AUUGAACGCUGGCGGCAUGCCUUACACAUGCAAGUCGAACGGUAACAGGUCUUCGGAUGCUGACGAGUGGCGAACGGGUGAGUAAUACAUCGGAACGUGCCUAGUAGUGGGGGAUAACUACUCGAAAGAGUGGCUAAUACCGCAUGAGAUCUACGGAUGAAAGCAGGGGAUCGCAAGACCUUGUGCUACUAGAGCGGCCGAUGGCAGAUUAGGUAGUUGGUGGGAUAAAAGCUUACCAAGCCGACGAUCUGUAGCUGGUCUGGGAGGACGAGCAGCCACACUGCGACUGAGACACGGCCCAGACUCCUACGGGAGGCAGCAGUGGGGAAUUUUGGACAAUGGGCGAAAGCCUGAUCCAGCAAUGCCGCGUGCAGGAUGAAGGCCUUCGGGUUGUAAACUGCUUUUGUACGGAACGAAAAGCCCCGGGUUAAUACCCUGGGGUCAUGACGGUACCGUAAGAAUAAGCACCGGCUAACUACGUGCCAGCCGCCGCGGUAA
rnacentral:rRNA from 1 species